AUACGGAGGGUGCAAGCGUUGUUCGGAAUCACUGGGCGUAAAGCGCGUGUAGGCGGUUCGUUAAGUCUGAUGUGAAAGCCCGAGGCUCAACCUCGGAAGUGCAUUGGAUACUGGCGAGCUAGAGUCCCGGAGAGGAGGGUGGAAUUCCUGGUGUAGCGGUGAAAUGCGUAGAUAUCAGGAGGAACACCGGCGGCGAAGGCGGCCCUCUGGACGGUGACUGACGCUGAGACGCGAAAGCGUGGGGAGCAAACAGGAUUAGAUACCCCAGUAGUCC
rnacentral:rRNA from 1 species